CUUGCAAGCAACACGCCUCGCGGGCUGCCUGUGUUGCCUCCUCCUGCUCCCAGCUUUGAACCUUUUGUUUUCUCCAGUCGGGGGGGCAGCGAGCUGCUGCUGCUAUGUCGGGAAAGUUCCAGGAGGCAUCGGAUCAGGCCAGGCUUUUGCUCUGCCGGGAUCUGCAAGGCGCGGUGUGUGUUCUGAGGCUGCUCGAAAAGGGAAGAUUCUGCUGAACAUCAGUGCAUGCAACCUCACAAAGAGCACUGAAAGAUGACUUAUUCAGACUGUUCCUUAUUCUGUUCAAGGGAUCCUGCCUGGAUUGGUAUGUUUUGGAUUUUUGUGUCAGGAAAGAGUGUUAUUGCAGGUGUAAAUGGACGCUAAACUUAAAUAUCCAAUUUAGAUACAUUGGAUACAAAUCCAAUGGAAAUUUGAGAAUGAAGUUGUGAAGUUAAAAAUGGAUCUUCCUAUUGGUUAAUUUAAAAAUUAGGCAAAGACCAUGGAACAUCAUUGGCAGUGCAAGUUUUCAGCAAUACUUUGCACUUCUUUAGUGCUUUUCAUUUGAUGAUAUUGAAGGGUGUCCCAAAUGCUAACUAGUCCUCGCAACAUCCCUGUGAAGCAGGUGGAUAAUAACUGUUUUACUAAUGAGGAAACUGGGUCACAGCAAGUCAGUGGCAGCACCGGCAGUUAACCCAGAAUGCUGAUGCUCUUUCUUGUGAUCUAAAGACUAGACCAUGCUCUUUCUGAAGAACUAAGUAAAUGGUAUUUUUCUUUUCUUUUUAUAUCUGUUCACAGUUUGUAAUAUGACUUCCAUGUUGGGCAUUUUUUGGCCAUUAACCAUCAGCUGAAUUAAGGGCAGAAGGCAUUCUUCUUAAGAGGGUAAUUAAGAGUCACUAAUUGCUCAAUCCAGAUUGGUCAUUGUUGCUUUAGUACUUUUCACUUUUAAAUAUAGAUAGUUCUAGUUUUAAGAGGAAAAGAGAAAAAUACUUCAAUUUUAAAUAAACUUUUUUUAUGAAUAAUUCUGCUAAAAUCA
rnacentral:lncRNA from 1 species